rnacentral:rRNA from 1 species
CUUAGAGUUUGAUCCUGGCUCAGGAUGAACGCUAGCUACAGGCUUAACACAUGCAAGUCGAGGGGAAACGAUAGAGAAAGCUUGCUUUUUCUAGGCGUCGACCGGCGCACGGGUGAGUAACGCGUAUCCAACCUGCCUAUCACUUGGGGAUAACCUUGCGAAAGUAAGACUAAUACCCAAUGAUAUCCCACGAAGGCAUCCGAAUGGGAUUAAAGAUUUAUCGGUGAUGGAUGGGGAUGCGUCUGAUUAGCUUGUUGGCGGGGUAACGGCCCACCAAGGCAACGAUCAGUAGGGGUUCUGAGAGGAAGGUCCCCCACAUUGGAACUGAGACACGGUCCAAACUCCUACGGGAGGCAGCAGUGAGGAAUAUUGGUCAAUGGGCGAGAGCCUGAACCAGCCAAGUAGCGUGCAGGAUGACGGCCCUAUGGGUUGUAAACUGCUUUUAUAAGGGAAUAAAGUGAGUCUCGUGAGACUUUUUGCAUGUACCUUAUGAAUAAGGACCGGCUAAUUCCGUGCCAGCAGCCGCGGUAAUACGGAAGGUCCGGGCGUUAUCCGGAUUUAUUGGGUUUAAAGGGAGCGUAGGCCGGAGAUUAAGCGUGUUGUGAAAUGUAGACGCUCAACGUCUGCACUGCAGCGCGAACUGGUUUCCUUGAGUACGCACAAAGUGGGUGGAAUUCGUGGUGUAGCGGUGAAAUGCUUAGAUAUCACGAAGAACUCCGAUUGCGAAGGCAGCUCACUGGAGCGCAACUGACGCUGAAGCUCGAAAGUGCGGGUAUCGAACAGGAUUAGAUACCCUGGUAGUCCGCACGGUAAACGAUGGAUGCCCGCUGUUGGUCUGAAUAGGUCAGCGGCCAAGCGAAAGCAUUAAGCAUCCCACCUGGGGAGUACGCCGGCAACGGUGAA